GGUAUGGGAUGAGCUUGCGUCCGAUUAGCUAGUUGGCGGGGCAACGGCCCACCAAGGCGACGAUCGGUAGCCGGCCUGAGAGGGUGAUCGGCCACAUUGGGACUGAGAUACGGCCCAGACUCCUACGGGAGGCAGCAGUAGGGAAUAUUGCACAAUGGGGGAAACCCUGAUGCAGCAACGCCACGUGUGGGAAGAAGCAUUUCGGUGUGUAAACCACUGUCAUGAGGGAAUAAGGCCCGCCUCCGGACGAGAUUGAAUGUACCUUGAGAGGAAGCACCGGCAAACUUCGUGCCAGCAGCCGCGGUAAUACGAGGGGUGCAAGCGUUGUUCGGAAUUACUGGGCGUAAAGGGAGCGUAGGCGGAGAUUCAAGCGGAUUGUACAAUCCCGGGGCCCAACCCCGGCUCUGCAGUCCGAACUGGAUCUCUUGGAUAGUUCAGGGGCAGGC
rnacentral:rRNA from 1 species